rnacentral:misc_RNA from 1 species
AAGUCGUAACAAGGUAUCCGUAGGUGAACCUGCGGAUGGAUCAUUAACAGUAUUAUUAUUAUACUACAUAAACACUUGUGAACUGUAUGUAUGGGAGUUAGUUUAUCUUCCAGUUUUACUAUUAUUAUACUUAAUAAGCUUAUGUAACAAUCAUAAAACUUUUAGCAACGGAUCUCUAGGCUCUC